rnacentral:lncRNA from 10 species
GGUCAAUUAGGAGUUAUGGCCUAUGGUGUGUAUAUGGCAGGGAAUUUUAAUUGUCAACAUUUUAGAAGCUCCAGCCUCACAGUCAUCACCAGAUAUACUAACACCAGCCAAUGACACGCCAAGUACUUCACUAAAUCUGACCCUCCCUGCCUUCAUGGAAAUGCACACUUAGAAUUACAGAACCCUCUGUGGAAGCGGUGGUCUGACACAAGCAUUUCUGGAUGACGCUGAACCUGCUUACAACUCCCUGCUGCUGUCAGGCAGAACAUUCUCCAAACCGCAUGAAUUUGGAAGUCUGGACACUUCAGGCAUCAUCAGGUUUAUGGUUUUGUCAUAACCCUGCUGAAAGUCCUUUACCAUCUCCAGGCCUCCAUUUAUUUUCUAUAAAAUAAGGAGUUUGGAAUGGCACUGUGUUGAUAUUCUCCAGUUUUGUGAAACAUCGUACUCAACAAUCGCGAGCAGGCAUUUUACAGACCUUGCUUUCCUAGACCUGCUCAAGUAGAACAUUCAGGAAUCUGGGCUGUAAAGGCAGGAUAUAAAUUCAAGUCCACAUGCUAUGGAGAAAUCAGAGGUUUCGAAAGUAUCUCCGUGACUGUUUUUGAAGUCACAGCUAAUAAUUCACCGUCUGACACUCCGGGGCUUGCCUGGAUCUAAAAAUAGUUGUUCCCCCGAGCUGGUCGGGGAACUGGCUGAGAAGGGAGGGAGCUGCGUGGAACACAUUCUGAACCAUCAGGAAACCCAAAGCAAAAUCGAAUCUUGCCACCUAAGAUUUGAUUAUUAAAAGAUGGAUUUGACAGCUGAUUCCCCAUUAAUUACAUUUGUAAAGAUAUUUGAAAGACAGGAAUGAAAUGACAGUGGCCCUGACACAGUCCUUGGGGUUUAAGACGGAGUCUGACAUUGUAUCUGUCUCCGGUUCUGCAGCAGCUUAGCGACAUCAGAGACAAUUGAAGCAAAGGGCCCACUUAUGGCUGACAGCUGACCCUGCAGCCCAGCUGGGAAGCCCCUGAGACGACCCGGGUCCAGCCAUCAGGGAAGGGAACCAGCGUGGCCCCAGGAGGGCUUUAGGCUGAGGCUUCUCCCAGGAUGUGGAGGCUCAGCACUUUGCACAAAUUGGAUUCAUGCCAAAGGAAACUGAAAGCCUGCCUUUCUUUUUUUCCCAGUGCACAUCUCAGAUUAUUUGGCCUUUGUCCGAGGACUGAAAACAGUUCUGUGUCCAAGUAUGUUUUUAAUACCUGAUAUUUAUUUCACAAAAAAGCUGAAAUUGCUUUGUGUGUCCAGGCUUGAAUGUUUAAGGCAUACUUGAUUAAUACAUGUGUGCUGAGCGCUUCCUGGGGCUCCUAGACACUGCCAAAGGUAGCUCAGUGGGGAAAUUCAAGGCAAUUUUCCCCUUAACUUUUGCUACUUCUGACCAUUUUCCACUUAUGUUAUUAUGCUUCUGUAUCCAUCUGUCUGCCUAUGUCUAGCUAUCCAUCAUCUAUCAAUCAAUCACUGUAUCUUGCAAUGGAGGAAUUAACUGUGAUGUUUUCAAGCGUGUCGCUUCUCUCAUAUUCCUAUUAACAUAUUGGAAACGCUCAGCUAAAUAGAAUAAAGUUUUUAGCCUAAACCUACAGUGAAUGUCUAAUGCUUUGGGCAAGAUAUUGAAGGGGUGGGGGAGAGAUAAUAUGAAUGCUUUCAUAGACACAGCUGGACUUCUUUCCCCCUAAACAUGAGUGAGAAUUCUUUCUAUGCUUCUAGUUGAGAUUGUAGAUAAAUAGAGAAAUCACAUUUGAACAUAGGAAAUGGCUUCUGAUAAAGAAGGCACAUUCCUGUCUCUCUCACACACACAUGCACGCAUGCACGCACACACGGACCUCCCACCCACCCAUCAGAAGCGUAUCAGAGGCCUCUGCCUCCCGCCAGGAUUCCCGGCUGCAGGACACAGCCCAGCAGGAGAAGCUUUUCCCUCCAUUCUUUCAAGGAUCUCGCUCUGUUACCCAGGCUGGAGUGAAGUGGCCCAAUCUCGGCUUACCACAACCUCUGCCUCCCAGGUUCAAGCGAUUCUCCUGCCUCAGCCUCCCAAGUAGCUGAGAUUACAGGUGUGUGCCACCAUGCCUAGCCAAUAUUUGUAUUUUUAGUACAGACAGGCUGGUCUCGAACUCCUGAGCUUCAGUGAUCUGCCUUCCUCGGCCUCCCAAAGUUCUGAGAUUUAUAGGUGUGAGCCACUGCGCCCGGCCCUCACAGUCAAUUUCUUAUGAGGAUUUUUCUUCUAAAUAUCCCAAAGAAGCCAUGUGGGGCACAGCCCUGGGGUGGUGGGCAAAUCAAGAGUCAAACUCUGAAUGUUUCCUAUCCCAGGGAGAGGGAGAAAAGAAUCUAAUCCAGAGAGAAAUUGGAAGGCUUAGUAUAAGAAGUCAUGCCAGAUUAUCAGCUCCUAUUUUGGGCCAGGCCUUUGAGGGGCAGCGUCCUGAGCCGUGAGGAGCAGGUGUCAGGCUAGGGCCUGGUGGAGACAUCAGGAAUCCUUACACAGUUCCAGGGAAGAGGGAAGAAAACCCACUGAGGACUGAGGAGGUUGGUCAUGCCAAGUGGAGGUGAGGAGUGGGGCUACAGGAGGCUGAUUUCCUGCUGUUCAGCAAGGAAGUCUUGGGUUGUUUGCCACUCACGUAUUUUACGUUUCUAACUAAGACACAGGACUUCAGGAAUAAGAUUGCCCUGGAAUGUCUCCAUCAGUGGCUCUCUCCUGGGGUUGACUUGGCUUCCCACAUCCCACCCGAGCAGGGGACAUGUGGCAAUGCCUGGAGGGACAAGACCAUGGAUGCAGCACAUGGCCACAAGGCAGUUUCAAGAUGCCCAUGUCAGGCAGAGGAUGGCUCAGUGGUCUCUAACCCACCUAACAUUUCAUGAACUUUACUCCUGGUCCCGCUCCCAAAUUAGACACUGGAGAUAAUGGAUCACUAUACUGCACUGAAGACUCGGAGGGGUUGAGCCGCUGGAGCCACGCAAAUUCAGACACCUCUUCCGCCCCAGGUCACUCUACUCGCCCACGCUGCCUGCCACACCCAUCCGGUUGUGCGGGACACUCCCCGCGUUUCUUCAGCGAUUCUUAUCGGGCUCCCUCCUUGUUCAAUAAAGGUGAAGGGUGUGGGGUUUUCUGUGCAUACGCUCAGGAAGUUGAGUCCCGGUGAAACGUGUCAGGUUGCCAUUUCCCAGGCUGGAAAGAUUUUCCCAGGACGGGUAUGAAUAGACGAUGAAAGUGCACACUCUUACCCGGCUGCCCGACCCAGGUGCCAGGCUUCUGACUCAGGACCAUCUGUGGGUGCGAGUGCAGGGAGGUGAGUCACUGCAGCCUUGCUCAGUCCCCCUGCAGAGGUCAGAUCCUGGGCCCCAAAAGCUGCUCCAGGAUGAAAGCCUGCUCUCAGUGAGACUAAAAUCCUGGUCAUUUGUGUUCUGCAGUCAUGAGCAUGUAACCCUAAUGUAGAACAACAACUUAGCCAAUGACUAUUUUUUCUGUUCAUGCCACAGUACCUGAAGGAGAAUUGCUGCUUCUCUUAAUGGUGCCUGCCACCCAACCCAAUAGUUAGCAUGUGAACGUCUUGCUUGAGAUCAGCUUCUGGGUGUAAAAAUAAAUUUAAAUAUAGAAAAUUCAAAUAACACCCAUUCAUUUAUCAAAGAUCUCAAAUGUUCUAUGAUCAAGGCAAAAAUCUAGUAGCCAAACAGAGGGUUCCCUAGCUGGUUUGACAGCCACACAGAAGGAUGGUUUGUACACAGCCACUAUUUUUCUAGAAGCCAGGGUAGCUUAUGUUUGGGACAUAUAUAAAAUACAAGGUAAAGGCUCUUUGAUUUGGGGAGGGAUGAUGGGAGGGGAAAUAAAGGCAUAAACAUGAAGUAACAAGGGAAGUCAAAAAUUCAGGUAGAUAAGGCGAGAGCUGACGCUGUUGCAAUCCAUUCUUCAUUCCCCAUACGUGAGUUGCCUGAGGUUUCUGAGGUCACAGAAGCUGUGAUGAACAUGAUUCAGUAGGAAGCAAGCAGGAAUAGGAGCCAGAAUCCUGAGUUCUCCUCUCAGCUCUGAUGCUGACACUGUGAUCUUAUUAUGUAAGAUUAAAUAAAAAUCGUGUUUUAGACACGUAGGCAGAGAAAAAGUCACCAUGCUGAAAUUGGCCAAGGGACUGAACAGAACCUGUUGCGUAGGAUCUUUUCAUGAUUCUAAGUUCUACAGGAGUUAGACACAAUAUCUGAACGGUCUCAGGUCUCUAUCUUUAAGAUACUAGAACUCAGGAUUGAACUGGAAUUUGAAGCAGAAUACUCUGUUUGCUGAGUGCUGAGUUCUGCCAAGAGAUAAAUUUUUCUCCAGCCUCUGCAGACAGAGGCACCCUGAGCUCCUGGGAUCUGGGGCAGCAGCCUCAGGGCUGUCCUGGAUUUGAACGGCAAGUACAGAAUUGCACCCAUCCUCUCAGUAAACCUGAGCAGUAGACAUCCCCAUGCCCACUUUAGAAAGAGGGAGGUUAAAGCUCCCAUGUGUUAAUCAGUUCUCAUGGUUAGAAACUUCUGGAGCUGGCAUUUGAGAGAUCUGUUGGACUCUGAAGCACAUCUGUCUUCUCAUUUAAGCCCUGUUCUAGGCAUUUGCCCAUACAGGGUGUGAGACUGGGCUUGUCAGUAACGUCCCUGCACUUGUAGAAACAGGACAGAAGAGGCUGCUGGCAUGGGCCACCACACAGGCAAUGGGCUAAGAAAGAACAGUCAGGAUGCAAGAGAGAAAUUUCUCCGAGUUCAUAACCAGCCGAUUGUGCAGGUGCAAACUUUGUGAUCUGUGCACACCAAAGAUCAUUUCCGUAUUUGCCUUGUAGCUGCCACUGUUGUUGUUUGCUAGGGAAAGGUGAUAGUCCCUUGAAAACCUGUUCUGUUGCCCUGAGGCCACUUGAUAUCCAAAGUUUUCUUCAUCCCUCAACCACAGCAAGCACUGACCCUCACAGUGACAGAGUGUGGGCAAUGCACUCUGCACUCCUGAGUUACACAAAUAAGGAUUGAUUUGAUCGUUUCAAAACAAGGAGGUCACUGCAAAAUUCAACAAAUGCUCAGUAAUGCCAUUUUCUUCGCUGAGAGCUCCUCCUCUGCCAGCAGUACAUGUCCCUCUCUAAGAAAAGGACUCUCAGAAGUGGGCAGAUCGUAAGAGCUAUGACUGAUGAUGAAGCAAAGAUGAAAAUCGUCUUCAUGACUUGCAUGUGCAGCAGAGGAAACCACAAGUUAUUCCCUGCAAGCCGGAAGCGGGCGGAUGUUUUCAUGGCCAAAGCCAGCAGUCCCCAUUUCUGUCUGUCAUAUUUUAGGGUAACUUGAUGGAAGAGAGGGAGCAGGUGGCAGGGACAGCAAAGCACAGGCACCUUCUAGAAACAGUGAAGGGCUCAAGACAUCCUGAGAAUGCCAACUGGGUGCAUGUGUCUGCUUUUGACCCACCCCAGAUCUUUCUGUUUCUGAGUCCUGUACACCUGCAACAAGGGUAGGAGGGUAGUUUUUUAAAUCGUUUUCCCUGUUUUACAAAGAAGAAAUUACAAUUACAAUCUGGAUCCCAUGGGGCUGUGACAUACAUCACCCACCUUUGUGCCAGGACUGGGGCUAAGCUCCUUGCAGAUACAAUUUUUAAUCCUGACAAUCUUCCAGCACAUUUGCUAUCCUCAACCCCAGUUUUACAAAUGACAAACUGAAGCAGAGGGAGGUGAUGAAGCAGCUGCAUCAUAUUUGAACACAAUUCUCCCAGUUAAAGGUGCAUUUCCAUGCAUUUGCUCUUGAGAGCUCCUCACCAACUCGCGAAUUUAGGAAGAUGAGAAUUUCUCCUUCAGAUACGUAGUGUGUUGGCCCACAUCACAGAGCUAGUAGGGAGCUGGGUUCUGGAACCCAGGCCUUUGAGCUUCGGUGCAUUUAAUUUGUUGCUGAGAUCUGAAUAUUUCCUUGUGACUGAUCAUGAAAACGUGAUGAAAUGGAAAAGAGUUACUAAAAGGAAUGGUGGACGUGGGACUGGAAACAAAACAACGUGCCUCUAAGUUAGCCAUUGGGGUAAAAGUGGAGCGAGGUCAGAGGCUCGUCAGGACUGUACUGGGCACGGCCCUGGCCUCCUCACUCACUGCCCACAGCAGCCCUCCCAGGGGACUGCACUGGUGGAGGAGGGGCAGACCCAGUCUGCCCUCGGAUGGGACGCAGGGAUUCAAAGUCCAUUUUUCCAUCUGAAACACUGACUGCAUCACACGUUACCUUUAACUGGAAAAAGACAACAUGCACUUUGCAAUGUUCUGCGUUAAGAUGAAUACAUGAUGAACAGUGACAGCUUAACUGUCUGGUUGACCUUGAAGAAAAAAAGACAACCAUUCUGUUUUAAUGUAGUCAAAUAAACAUCAAGUGGCUUGCAAGUAAAAAGCAGGAAAAGGCAGCACUUUGUGAAAAAGGAGGUUUGGGAUUUGUAAACGUUUUAACGAGUCAUCUGGGAAAACCCGAGGUGUGUCUCCUGUGCAAAAGACUCACAUCCGGAAUUACAAAGGUUUUGCAUUUAGCACAGAAGUGAUGCGUCGAAACACCCGAUUGUUUAAAUUUUAAUGACAAACAAAAAACGUGCUUUAAUAAGAUUUCACUUUCAUUUCCCUGAGUAGCUAUGUUCUGGGGCCUGUGAAUCUUCUUGGAGCAUUAAAUGCAUUUGUCAAUUUGGGGGGUAGCCUUUCAAUUAAUAUGAAGUCAAAAUAAAAGGACACUCACAGGUCCUUUCUUUCCCAGGUGGGGGUUCUUCCUGGUGUUGUACUAUUGAGAACUGAAUUGACAGGUGUGUGGACAUCCCUGGUCAUUGUCUUCUGCUGUCUAACCACGUCGUCUUUCCCAUAGGCUUUCCAUCUACUGAGAAAGGGGAGAAGGAAGAGAAUGAAAUGGAAAAUGAGUGAUUGGUCUUAUGUAAACCCUUCUAGGCAAAACAGGAACCAGAGGGGGUCUGAUAUUUUGGAUCAAAUGAGUUGCUGGUUUUAUUUAGAGAUCCUGCUUAGAAUUAAUGCGUCCAUGCUGUUGGAGAAGAGAGCAAAGUAGUGACAACAUCAGGCUCAUUGUUCAUUCAUUCAUUCAUUCAUACAUUGAGCAUUCCUAGGGGCUGAGGAGUCAAGAGCCAUUAAAUUUUAUCCAGUAAUCUUCCCUUAUCUGCGGAUUCGCCUUUGGCAGUUCCAGUAGCCUGUGGUCAACUGAUGUCCCAAAAUAGGUGAGGUCUCAAAAUAGGUGAAUACAAGAAGAAAUUUAGAGAGAGAGAGAGGAAGAGAGAGAGAAAGAGAAAGAGACCACAUUCACAUAACUUUUAUUAGAGUAUAUUGUUGUAAUUGUUUUAUUUUAUUAUGUUAUAGGUGAUCUCUUACUGUGCCUAAUUUAUAAAUUACACUUUAUCACAGGUAGGUAUGUAUAGGAAAAAUCAUAGUAUAUAUAUAUAGGAUUUGGUGCUUCCAUACUUUCAGGCAUCCACUGGGAGUCUUGAAACGUGUCGCCCUGGGAUAAGGGGGACAACUGUAUGCACAAUUCUUUGUCCAAAGGACUCAUCCUCCAGGGAGGAAGGGAGAAGGGUGAAGAUGCUCAGAGUACAGGUGGCCACUGGCUCUCCCAGGACAUUCCAUCCAUUUCUGGAACGUCAUUAUGCUUCAGGGAGGUCAUACCGGACACUCACUACUGCUCAACAGCUAAGCAGUAGAAAUGAAAACAGAUGUUCUUUGUACCUUGUUCAGCUCUACCCUGAGUAUUCUAUGGUAGAAACUUCAACCCUUGUCCAUAAAUGGGGACAUUCCGCUGCCUCUUUCUCUCACAGGUGUCAUUUCUGAGCAGGGAAGGUGUGAUCUGGGGCCAGAAUGAAUGGCCCUGGUGACUUCUUACCUGAUUCAUCCCACACCAGUCAGAAGGGGCUGUGAAGGCAGCAGCGAAGGAGCCACACAUGGACGUGGAAUGGGCACGCUGACCAUCAUGGUCACGACUGCAAGAAAGCAGGUACUGAGCCCACUUCUGUCUGAAGACUGUGAUAUUGAGCUGAGGCCACACACACACACACACCCACACACACACACACACACACACACAGCCUUUGCUUCGAAAGGACCAGGUCCCUCAUCAUGCAUUGUCAACAAUACAUAAAAGCUGAAAGGCGCCUCACACUCGGGCUCACGCUCCGCAAGUAGCCAACAUGCAAGAAGAGACAGAGGGGCUUCCAGCAUGGUGCCUGACACCUGGAGACACCCACUACUUACUGUGUGGGUGAAUGAAGAAAAUGCGUACCUGGCUCCAGAAUGGCCCAUUGCUGGUUGGCAUGGGGUUCCGUUGCUUAGAGGUGAGAGGGUGAGUAUGGGCUCCACUGGAAGACAAUAGGGCAUAGAUGUGGUUCGGCCACAUAUUUCAUCAAGGUGCACCUGUGACUUCUGCAGCAUCUAAUUUGAGAAAUUGAUAAAAUGGCUAAACAGUGUAUAUUAUGGUAGUCGGAGAGAUGAGUUGGUUAUAACCCCGGCUCUUUCUUGCAGGGCUGCGUGGGUUAAUUGGCUGUGUCUGAGGGUCACCCCUGCACAAGGAGGAUGAUGACGACUGCCCUGUGCAACCCUGGGUCAUCUCAGGGGAGAGCCAUUCCCAGGUUCACAGCAAGCACUCUUUUACUCAGAUGGGCCACCUGCAUCAGGCCCCAAGGAAGCACUUAUUAGUAGAAGAAAAAAAACAAAAACCCAGAAAACAGCCAGUGAGACUAUUUUACAAACAAGCGAAGAGCAGCAACUGAAAGCAACAAUAACUACAACAUAAAUCCCUCUGCAAAUAUUUGGGAUUUCAUUUCCACUAAGGAUAAUGAUGGCGUAGAAGGCAUGUCUGUGGGAGUUAUGCACACAGGGAAAAAGGUGGUGAAAAUAAUCAACCAAAAAUAACAAAAUUCAAUUAAUCAAAACAGAACAAAAUAAAAUGAGCCAAACAGCAUAUCUGAAUAUAAGCAUAAUAAUUGUCGUUGGACAAACCUUUGUCAAAUCAAAUUGGCUUCUAGCACACGGGCUGAUACUUUGUGAUUCAAGUGGUGUUCUACCCACAUAAUUCAUUUAGUUGCAAAGAAUGUAACAAAUAAUGCAAUUAUUCCAGAGGAUCACGGUGAGACAUCUAUUUGGUGGUGCCUUAAGCAGAGUGCCCUGAUUCAGAAGAAUUAGACCAAUCUCUGGAUUCACAGCCACUCAUGAAAACUGUAGGCCGGGCACGGUGGCUCAUGCCUGUAAUCCCAGCACUUUGGGAGGCCAAGGCGGGUGGAUCACGAGGUCAGGUGAUCGAGACCAUCCUGGCUAACAUGGUGAAACCCCGUCUCUACCAAAAAUACAAAAAGAAAUUAGCUGGGAGUGGUGGCGGGCACCUGUAGUCCCAGCUACUCGGGAGGCUGAGGCAGGAGAAUCGCUUGAACCCAGGAGGUGGAGGUUGCCGUGAGCCGAGAUCACGCUACUGCACUCCAAUCUGGGUGACCGAGCAAUACUCCGUCUAAAAAAAAAAAGUAAUAAUAAUAAUAAAAUAGGAAACUGCAGUAACUCGGGACAUCUGGGUUCCUUGUCUUUUGUCAAAAUCACAGGGAAUUCAACUCACUGAAUCUAUUGGUCAAUUCAAUUCCGCCAUUGGUCAGUAUGACUCGGCUUUUGACAGAGAGUUUUACCCAAAGACUUGCAGAACUUCCUUCCUGCAAGAUUUCAGAAGCACAGCAAGCAUUGCAAGAGGAAACUACCUUAUAAAUCAUACAAACCCAGCAUCGUGUUCUUUGCUUGUCCUUGCCUGAAUUUACUGGAAAAUCAUGUUGUGAAACCUAAAUGCAAAUGAACCUUUCUUAUUGCAAAUUAAAAACUAAAUCCAUUUUCAACUGAAUUCAAUGGGAAAAACAAGAAUUAUUUUCCUAAAAAGUAAAUAUCCACCACUCCGUAAUAAUUGUGAUCCGCUGUGGCUUAUGUGUCGUGUCUCAGGACAUGGACUCGGUCCUCUGCAUACCUUACCUCUCAUCCUGCAAUAAUCCUGAACAGGUUCCCAUUAUCCCCAUUUUAGAGGUAAGAAAAACACAGCUCUAAGGGUCUAAGUAACAAUCCCAAAGCCAGAAAUCAGUGCAAUCUUUCCUUGUAGGUUCCAUAAAGGAAGACUCCUCAUUGCUCGCUCAGGGUAAAUGUCUACUCUUUGCAAAUGCCAUUCUUAGCAAUCCUUUAAAAACAGUAACUCCUAGAUUGUAGUACUGCUCAAAGUUUCUAAGGAAACUCACAAGCUUAAAGAAAUGGCCGUGGGGUACUUGGGUAAUAGCUUCCCCACUUUCUUAUCCAGGAGCCUGGCUUCCAGGUGUUACCCUAGGCUGGUCAUGAAGAUACGUCCACCUUUUUUUUUGUUUUAAGUUACAGAGUUGCAAAUAUUUUUAAUAUUUUAAAUUGAUAAACCCAAGUUAUUUGAAUGCCAUCUUUAAAGUUUUUGAUUUGUUUUGCUUGUUUGUGCCUUGUCUUGUUUUUAAAACUUUUAUUUUAGGUUCAAGGGUACAUGUGCAGGUUUGUUAUAUAGGUACACUCCUGUCACGGGGGUUUGUUGUAUAGAUUAUUUCCUGAUCCAGUUACUAAACCUACACAUCCUGAAAAGGCAACAUUUCUGAUUCCCUAAGUGCAGGGAGCUCAGUGGGUGGGGCACAAUUGAUUAAUGGUGACCCAGCAGCUGCAGGCAUGCCUUCCCCUCUUAAAUCCUAUAAACCUUUCUCCCAGGGCAGAGAAUGGGACUGGCCUUGUUCCCACAGCUCCCUCCCCUUGCCAUCCUUGAGCCUUGAGAAGGAGCUGCUUACACAGCGAAGAAGGCCGGAAGGUCUGUGCGACAUUCUUUGGUACCAUCUGUGGACAUUACUGUUCCAUGCAGCCGAGGCUCCGUCCAGCGUUCACUGAUCUUACUGUACCUCCCCUCAGAUCUAGGGGAACGUGCUGGGAGCCGCUUCAGAAAUGGGGGACUUUCUUUUUUUUUUUUUUUUGAGAUUUAAAAAACUUUAAUCUCCAAAUUAAGUAUUUCUUUAUAGAACUCUGUUUUAGACAACAAAGAAUGGUAACAUAGUUAAGAGCCCAAACUCUGUGGUCAGGUACAUCUGAGCUAAUGAAUAUACUUAGAAUUCCUGGCAUGUGGUGAGCACUUGGUAGACAUUAUUAUUAUUGUUAUUAAUAAUACCCCAAAUCCAUCCUUCCUCCCAGUUAAUUUCUUUUUUUUUUUCUAUUAUACUUUUAAGUUUUAG